AGAAAAUAGCUUUAGCUGACAGAAGACAGCCAAGAAAUAAGGAUUAAUCCAGUGUCUAAACUGCAUAUGAAAAGCAUACCUAUGUGGGAGCAACAAUGAAUUACUGGAAACUAGCUGCUGAAUAGUGUCUGCACACAAAUAACUAUUGUCAUUGGUUCAUCAGAUGUUUUCCUCUAGCUCAUAGUAGUGCAUUGCUGCUCCUUCAACAAAGGACACCAAGAGAAUGAAGUACAUUUGAUAAUAGAAGUCAAUUGGAAAGUUGUUUAAAAUCACAUGCUCAAUCUGAAUCAAGAAAGAAAAAAAAUGGGUUUCAUGUCUCUUUAAAUUUAUUGCAAAUAUAAAAAAAUGGAGAGAAGAAGAAAAAGAAAGUGUCUGACAUGGUGAUUCUAGACCCUGCUACACUCUACAGCAAUGCAACAAAAAACUAGCUACCAGGCUGUAUUUUCAAUAAAUGCACAGCAAGAAUUUACUGGCAAGCCUCAGCUUCAGUGAAUAAUUAACCUGAACACAACUAUUUACUGGCUACAUAACUUGGGACAGUGUAAAAAGCUGCGCAAUCUUUUGGUGCUCUACAAAUUAAUGAUAAUAAUAAUAGUAGAGGUACAAAAAUUGACAUUUGCCAACUUUAAAGAGAUAAACUAUCCAGCGAAUACCUAAGCAAGCUAUCACAAUAAACAAGAUACUGGCAAGUCACUGCCUCAAGAAAAUGACUCCCAGGGACAAUACAGAGACAUAUCUUUAAGAUACGGUGACCAUGGAGUAAUAGCACAGCAUUUCAACAACUGGCAGUUCAAUUAAAGAAAGGCUGUUUAACCUAAUUCAUCUGUUACAGAAAUGCUGAAACCAGGGACACAAAAUUCAGUGCAGAAUGUAAAAAACUCUGAGACCAAUUCUUGUAUAAACUCCCAUGUAGUCUCUGUGAUUGGGGUUGCCAAAAUAAUCCCACUACAUGUGAAGCCAUGGUGUCCCAAGUGGAGAGAUAUCUGUUUACUGAGGACCUGGAAAAAAAUGGUCUCUGGCUACAUUUAAGACCAUCACAUCCCACUCUUUCCCUAAGACAAGACAUUUACUAGAUCUCAAAGACCUGGACCAAUGGUGGAGGAUGCUAAAUUCAAUCCUGGAUCAAGAGUUUGUUCACCAAGAGCAGGCCAUACAUUUAUGAGAGAGAUGGGCUUAAAGUGACAGUCAAGUCCAAAAUAAACUUUCAUGAUUCAAACAGGGCAUGUAAUUUUAAACAACUUUCCAAUUUACUUUUAUUACCAAUUUUGCUUUGUUCUCUUGAUAUUCUUUUUUUAAAAUUAUUUAUUACCAA